GACGAACGCUGGCGGCGUGCUUAACACAUGCAAGUCGAACGGUAGGGCCCUUCGGGGUACACGAGUGGCGAACGGGUGAGUAACACGUGGGUGAUCUGCCCUGCACUUCGGGAUAAGCCUGGGAAACUGGGUCUAAUACCGGAUAGGACCACUGCCUGCAUGGGUGGUGGUGGAAAGCUUUUGCGGUGUGGGAGGGGCCCGCGGCCUAUCAGCUUGUUGGUGGGGUGAUGGCCUACCAAGGCGACGACGGGGAGCCGGCCUGAGAGGGUGACCGGCCGUACUGGGACUGAGAGACGGCCCAGACUCCUACGGGAGGCAGCAGUGGGGAAUAUUGCACAAUGGGCGCAAGCCUGAGGCAGCGACGCCGCGUGAGGGAUGACGGCCUUCGGGUUGUAAACCUCUUUCAGCACCGACGAAGCGCAAGUGACGGUAGGUGCAGAAGAAGGACCGGCCAACUACGUGCCAGCCGCCGCCGUAA
rnacentral:rRNA from 1 species